CCCAAUGACGUCUCUAGAAGGCAUCUGAAAGAGAUUAAAGAUUUAUCGGUGAUGGAUGGGGAUGCGUCUGAUUAGCUUGUUGGCGGGGUAACGGCCCACCAAGGCAACGAUCAGUAGGGGUUCUGAGAGGAAGGUCCCCCACAUUGGAACUGAGACACGGUCCAAACUCCUACGGGAGGCAGCAGUGAGGAAUAUUGGUCAAUGGACGAGAGUCUGAACCAGCCAAGUAGCGUGCAGGAAGACGGCCCUAUGGGUUGUAAACUGCUUUUAUAAGGGAAUAAAGUGAGUCUCGUGAGACUUUUUGCAUGUACCUUAUGAAUAAGGACCGGCUAAUUCCGUGCCAGCAGCCGCGGUAAUACGGAAGGUCCGGGCGUUAUCCGGAUUUAUUGGGUUUAAAGGGAGCGUAGGCCGGAGAUUAAGCGUGUUGUGAAAUGUAGACGCUCAACGUCUGCACUGCAGCGCGAACUGGUUUCCUUGAGUACGCACAAAGUGGGCGGAAUUCGUGGUGUAGCGGUGAAAUGCUUAGAUAUCACGAAGAACUCCGAUUGCGAAGGCAGCUCACUGGAGCGCAACUGACGCUGAAGCUCGAAAGUGCGGGUAUCGAACAGGAUUAGAUACCCUGGUAGUCCGCACGG
rnacentral:rRNA from 1 species